UAAAGUUGUUAUGCUGAUGCAAUAACUUCUGAUCAAAUUUUCCGUCCUCAUCUUUUCCUCUAAAUGUAGUUUCUCACAUUCAGCUAAAAUUCUUGACUUUUGAGAAAUUGGGUGGUUUGGAAAUUUCCUAGACCUCUUCAUGUUGCAAAUCCAUACCUGAGCCCAAUUUUUAGUUUUUGUGAUCGAAUGGUUAUAUCACAUAUCCUUUCUCUCCCAGUCUAUUUUCUAUGUUGAUAUGGAGUGGAGGUCCUCAUAUACAGAAGUUUCCUUCUUAAUGUGUUUUCUUGGCCGAAACAAACGAGUUUCCUCUUGAUCCAUUUUAAGCUAUAUGUUUUUUUGUUAUAAAUUACAUUGCUUGUGUUGAAAGUCUUUUAGAUUGCUUUAACUUUAUCAAAUGACUAUUUAAGUACCUAACUUGUUAGCACUUUUCCACAUGUGGCCACUUUUGAGUGCAAGUUAUUAAUCUGAAGGCCAAAGGCCUUCAUAAAAAAUUGUGGUUAUAUUGCUUGUGGUAAGAUUUUAUAGUUCUUAAAACUAUUUCUCACUCCAUAACUAGAUAUCAUUCUUAGUUAACUAGAAAUUUCUCUUAGUUGUAGCAUUCUUAAAUUUAUAGUUCUUGAUUGUAUUAUUAUCUGUGCUACGGUUUGAAGUUGGUAUGCUUGGACAAGUGUCAUAGCUGCAUUUGCGAUAAUUGGUAGAGAGGUGAGUGCCUAUUGUUUAGUCUCUUGGUUUUGAUAUGGAGUAAUCAUUUUAUGCAACUGUGUGAUUACUUAAUGUCAGAAGAGGGAACAUCCAAAUCUGAUUUUAAUCUUUGCUUGUGCAUAUGUUUGCUUUAGUGGACAUAAGAAAUUUAAUUCUCAUGUUGUUUUUGCAUUCCCAUGUGCAUAAGUUUGUUCCAUGUUUGUUUGUGCAAUUAACUUCUUGUUAAGAGUAGGUAGUUGGGUUGAGUAGGUAAUUUUUUUUGGAACUUUUUUCUUUCUUCCACAGGAGCUCAUGUGGAACUCUUCUACCAUGCUAAUGUUUACAAGAUUUUAACCCAUGAGUAAUAAAUGUCUCGUUGUUUUGUUCCAUGUUAUAAUCUUAUUCUUCUGCAGCUUUUA